GACGAACGCUGGCGGCGUGCUUAACACAUGCAAGUCGAACGGAAAGGCCCUGCUUUUGUGGGGUGCUCGAGUGGCGAACGGGUGAGUAACACGUGAGUAACCUGCCCUUGACUUUGGGAUAACUUCAGGAAACUGGGGCUAAUACCGGAUAGGAGCUCCUGCUGCAUGGUGGGGGUUGGUAAGUUUCGGCGGUUGGGGAUGGACUCGCGGCUUAUCAGCUUGUUGGUGGGGUAGUGGCUUACCAAGGCUUUGACGGGUAGCCGGCCUGUGAGGGUGACCGGCCACAUUGGGACUGAGAUACGGCCCAGACUCCUACGGGAGGCAGCAGUGGGGAAUAUUGCACAAUGGGCGGAAGCCUGAUGCAGAAACGCCGCGUGCGGGAUGACGGCCUUCGGGUUGUAAACCGCUUUCGCCUGUGACGAAGCGUGAGUGACGGUAAUGGGUAAAGAAGCACCGGCUAACUACGUG
rnacentral:rRNA from 1 species